rnacentral:lncRNA from 1 species
AAAUAGGGUCAACAACCUGACUCUGAUACCACUUGAAGGGAAAAAUCAUCUUUUUCUUGUGUAAGAUCUUCCAGAUUUCACCAAAUCUGGGGUGGAAUAAAUUUUAUAUUUUUAUCCUACAUUAUUUUAGAUCUAAUGCCUAUUAGAUCUAAUUUUAUUAUCUAAUAUUUAAAAUCUAAAAUUAAAUCUAAAAGUAUGAGAAAUAUAGACAUACCUUAAGGGUAAUCUAAUUACCCUGUAG